rnacentral:rRNA from 1 species
AAUCAUUAGCCUCUUAAUUAGAGGCUAGAAUGAAUGGUUUAACAUUUCUUUAACUUUUUUAAAAAUUAAUAUAAAACUUAUACUAAAUAUAAAAAUAUAUUUAUUUACAAAUUAGACGACAAGACCCUUUCAAACUUUACUGAAGUUUAGCUGGGGUAGCUAAAUAAUUAUUAUCUUAUUAAUCAAAUCAAAACAGACCCAAUCUAAAAAUUGAGUAUAUGAACAAGUUACUGAAGGGAUAACAGCAUAAUAAAUUUAUAUAGCUCUUAUUAAAAAAUUAGUUUAUGACCUCGAUGUUGAAUUAUUUUACUUCUAUACGCAAGAGUUUAGAGAGGAGGUCUGUUCGACCUUUAAAUUUU